rnacentral:rRNA from 1 species
GACGAACGCUGGCGGCGUGCUUAACACAUGCAAGUCGAACGGAAAGGCCCUGCUUUUGUGGGGUGCUCGAGUGGCGAACGGGUGAGUAACACGUGAGUAACCUGCCCUUGACUUUGGGAUAACUUCAGGAAACUGGGGCUAAUACCGGAUAGGAGCUCCUGCUGCAUGGUGGGGGUUGGAAAGUUUCGGCGGUUGGGGAUGGACUCGCGGCUUAUCAGCUUGUUGGUGGGGUAGUGGCUUACCAAGGCUUUGACGGGUAGCCGGCCUGAGAGGGUGACCGGCCACAUUGGGACUGAGAUACGGCCCAGACUCCUACGGGAGGCAGCAGUGGGGAAUAUUGCACAAUGGGCGGAAGCCUGAUGCAGCAACGCCGCGUGCGGGAUGACGGCCUUCGGGUUGUAAACCGCUUUCGCCUGUGACGAAGCGUGAGUGACGGUAAUGGGUAAAGAAGCACCGGCUAACUACGUGCCAGCAGCCGCGGUGAUACGUAGGGUGCGAGCGUUGUCCGGAUUUAUUGGGCGUAAAGGGCUCGUAGGUGGUUGAUCGCGUCGGAAGUGUAAUCUCGGGGCUUAACCCUGAGCGUGCUUUCGAUACGGGUUGACUUGAGGAAGGUAGGGGAGAAUGGAAUUCCUGGUGGAGCGGUGGAAUGCGCAGAUAUCAGGAGGAACACCAGUGGCGAAGGCGGUUCUCUGGGCCUUUCCUGACGCUGAGGAGCGAAAGCGUGGGGAGCGAACAGGCUUAGAUACCCUGGUAGUCCACGCUGUAAACGGUGGGUACUAGGUGUGGGGUCCAUUCCACGGGUUCCGUGCCGUAGCUAACGCUUUAAGUACCCCGCCUGGGGAGUACGGCCGCAAGGCUAAAACUCAAAGGAAUUGACGGGGCCCCGCACAAGCGGCGGAGCAUGCGGAUUAAUUCGAUGCAACGCGUAGAACCUUACCCGGGUUUGACAUGGAUCGGGAGUGCUCAGAGAUGGGUGUGCCUCUUUUGGGGUCGGUUCACAGGUGGUGCAUGGCUGUCGUCAGCUCGUGUCGUGAGAUGUUGGGUUAAGUCCCGCAACGAGCGCAACCCUUGUUCACUGUUGCCAGCACGUUAUGGUGGGGACUCAGUGGAGACCGCCGGGGUCAACUCGGAGGAAGGUGGGGAUGACGUCAAGUCAUCAUGCCCCUUAUGUCCAGGGCUUCACGCAUGCUACAAUGGCUGGUACAGAGAGUGGCGAGCCUGUGAGGGUGAGCGAAUCUCGGAAAGCCGGUCUCAGUUCGGAUUGGGGUCUGCAACUCGACCUCAUGAAGUCGGAGUCGCUAGUAAUCGCAGAUCAGCAACGCUGCGGUGAAUACGUUCCCGGG